UUUUUUUAUUUAUAAAAUUGUAUUUGUAAAACAGACAUGUAUGGACAGCAAUGCUAAUGACCAGGGAAAACAUGGAACAUGCAUACAUAAGUUUUCUAGAAAAUCAAUACAGAGUUGACGAGUGGUACACAUAUAUAACAUGGCGAUCAAUACUCAUAACACACAAUAUUCGGUUACUGAAUAAAAGUGAAAAAGGAAACGGGGAAUGUGUCAAAGCGACAACAAACUUAGAUUCAGAAUCAUCUAUUACCAAAUAUGACGCAAAUUGAUAACAAAAAGUAAAUUGACUUUAUAUGAUAUCAUAUAAAUUAUAAAUUGUAUACACAAUUUCAGGAUAUAAUAUAAAUUAUAAGCUGGACUUUUUCGUGAAUUUACACAAUUAUACAGAGCCAAAGAGGAUAAUAAUACGUAAUCCUCUUGAUAUUUAGUAUUCUCUCGAAACAUUCUUAUAAUUUUCUUAUCUACAAAUAAAUCAAUUGUUUUUUUCAACCAGAUAUGCGACUUUUUAACCGAUCAAACCAAAAUCCACAAAAAAUAUUUCCGUAAAAGAAAUGAAUGUUACUAAUCCAGUAACUAUUCCUGAGACUUGUAUGCGAUA
rnacentral:lncRNA from 1 species